GAUGAAGAACGAAGCGAAAUGCGAUACGUAAUGUGAAUUGCAAAUUCAGUGAAUCAUCGAGUCUUUGAACGCACAUUGCGCCCCCUGGUAUUCCGGGGGGCAUGCCUGUCCGAGCGUCAUUGCUGCCCUCAAGCACGGCUUGUGUGUUGGGCUUCCGUCCCUGGCAACGGGGACGGGCCCAAAAGGCAGUGGCGGCACCAUGUCUGGUCCUCGAGCGUAUGGGGCUUUGUCACCCGCUCCCGUAGGUCCAGCUGGCAGCUAGCCUCGCAACCAAUCUUUUUAACCAGGUUGACCUCGGAUCAGGUAGGGAUACCCGCUGAACUUAAGCAUAUCAAUAAGCGGAGGA
rnacentral:misc_RNA from 1 species